ACACUUAAAGCAUGCCAUGUCCUCAGGGCAUAAAAGAAAUACGAAGAGUGUAGAAAACGUCCAUGAUUAUCGGCAAUGAAAAACUGAACCAUCGUGAGAGGCGGUGAAAAGGGGGCUUUGCGGUCUGUUGCAGAGGAGAGAAUGGUUGCGCUGGAUAGGGCAGCGAAGAGAGUGGCUACGCUGGAAUAUGAAGACCUCCAGAAUUCUGGCAGAGAAAAAACCUGACCCAAACAAAACAAAGAAACAAAGAGAAACAAAACGAAAAAAAAAAAACGAAACUAAAAGAAAGGAAAACAAAACAAAGAAAAACAAUUGGGUUACCUCCCAACAAGUGCUAAAAUUAACGUCUAUAGCUUGACGAUACCUUCAAUCACGGAUCAACGAAGUUGACCACUUCCAC
rnacentral:lncRNA from 1 species